CCUACGGGUGGCAGCAGUGAGGAAUAUUGGUCAAUGGACGAGAGUCUGAACCAGCCAAGUAGCGUGAAGGAUGACUGCCCUAUGGGUUGUAAACUUCUUUUAUAAAGGAAUAAAACGAGGCACGUGUGCCUUUUUGCAUGUACUUUAUGAAUAAGGAUCGGCUAACUCCGUGCCAGCAGCCGCGGUAAUACGGAGGAUCCGAGCGUUAUCCGGAUUUAUUGUGUUUAAAGGGAGCGUAGAUGGGUUGUUAAGUCAGUUGUGAAAGUUUGCGGCUCAACCGUGAAAUUGCAAUUGAUACUGGCAGUCUUGAGUACAGUUGAGGUAGGCGGAAUUCGUGGUGUAGCGGUGAAAUGCGUAGAUAUCACGAAGAACCCCGAUGGUGAAGGCAGCUUACUAAACUGUGACUGACAUUGAUGCUCGAAAGUGUGGGUAGCAAACAGGAUUAGAUACCCUUGUAGUC
rnacentral:rRNA from 1 species